UACGUAGGGGGCAAGCGUUGUCCGGAUUUAUUGGGCGUAAAGCGCACGCAGGCGGUCUUUCGCGUUUUUGAGUGACAGGUGGAGGCUUAACUCCCACAGGUCUCAGAAUACGGGGAAGACUUGAGGGCUUCAGAGGGACGCGGAAUUCCAGGUGGAGCGGUGAAAAUGCGUAGAUAUCUGGAGGAACACCGGUGGCGAAGGCGGCAUCCUGGACCGACACUGACGCUGAGGAGCGAAAAGCCAGGGGGAGCAAACGGG
rnacentral:rRNA from 1 species